UAGCUAGCAGAAGUUAGUGACUUCCUUGGCU
rnacentral:piRNA from 1 species